CUUGGGUUGGGGGGGGUCCCUCAGCCCAGAUUGUGAGAGGGCGCAGGUCAGGCCAAGGGACUCCACCAGUGCACA
rnacentral:pre_miRNA from 1 species